UUGCUUUGGCAGCACACAUAUGAAAAUUGGGGCAAUUCAGUGAAGAUUAGCACAGCCCUUGCACAAGGAUGACACACAAAUUCAUAAAGCAUUCCAUAGGAAA
ensembl:snRNA U6 U6 spliceosomal RNA